AAGGUACAUGCUCUUGACUGGAAUCGAACCCGGGAGCUUUCAGUCCGCACACCAAUGCUCUAUCCACCGAGCCAAACCGGUCAGGGCUCCCAACAAACUUUAGUUGUGUCAGUCUGGGCACCAUGUUGCCCUCCUUCCUUUGCACAGGGGGUCAGGCUCCCUCAUCCGUGUGGGCGUGUGUGUUUUGUCAGGUCCUUGCUGGACCACAUGUACGACAUAAGCUCUUUAGAACCAAGGACUGAGUUUUAUUUACUGUUGUGCUCCCUGCAGAGGCUGAGGUUUUCAGUGACUGCUUUUCAGGGAUGUCUCUCUUCUAGAACCCAUUCCAGCAGGCCCAUGUGGCUGUGCUUCACGGGGGCCACUGGGUCAGCACUUCUGUAGGCAUUGCCAUUUCUUUCCAGCAUUUGUUAUUGAUUGUCAGUGCUCCUCAGGCUCUGCCAAUACCCCCAGCAGGAAUCCGAGGUCUUUUGCUGGUGGGUAUAGGUGUGGAGAUUCUCAUCACAAGAUAGUGAUAUUUUCCCAGCACCACCCCAUUCCAGACACCGAGAUCAGCUCUAGUAACCCUUUGCCUCUUGAGUGACAGUGUCCUCACCUAUAACUGUCCUGGACUCCCCCUGAGGGCAGGCUCACCCCAUCCUGAGUUCCUUAGAAUCCUCCACAGGGGGAGGGGCUUGUGUCUUUGUGUCAAAUGAUGGGUCAGCAUCCUGCUGCUUUCCUAGGAGGUUGUGUGUGAAGGACCCUUGUUCUCCGUGGUGACCUGCUCCUCUCCUGAGCCAGGGCCCAGGUGUCAGUGGUGUCCACAGCCCUAAAUACUGACAGCUAAUCUUUGUUUUCUCUAAGUGGGUAUAGACAUUAGUUAUCCAUUUUCAAUCAUUGUUCUUCAGUGGGCCAAUAAUUUAUUUUGGCAAGUGCAGCUUUAUUAUUGAAUUCUCUUUUUAAAUUAUUAACACAUUAAACUCAGAAAUUCUGAGCUUGGCACGGAGAUUCAAUGACAACGUCUCUCAGUAGAAACUUGUAGAACAGAAACUAUUGAACUUCAGCUGCUCAUUCAGUUUGUGUGUUUCUAUUGGGCUUCUCUGUUCCUCCCUCUGUCUCAUGCUCAGGGUGCAGGGCAGUGAGGCUCAGGCUGCUAAGUCAGGGAGAAACAGUCCUCAAUCCCUAAUUAUGCAUGGUGCUUCAUUUUAUAUGUAAAUGACCACAUAGUCAUUACAGAGUGGUUUCUUGGGCAUAGUGUGUGUUGCUUCUCUGACAUGAUUUUCUACUUCAUCCUGAGGUUUAUGUAAAGGGAAGUAAGGAAAGUCAAAGAGACUUCACCAUUUUCCUUUAUAAUUAUCAUGACGUCAGACUUUUUGUUUCUCAUUUCAACUUUCCUAGAAAGCAAAAUCGACAGUUGUUUGUGGGCAAAAAUGAAACAGAUAGAAUUCUGCGUGUCAUAGAAGAGAAAGAAGGGAAGUGACUUCUGAUGACAAGAGGACAAAGUGUGUGCUCUGUGUCCUGUUCCAUGAUCACCAGAUCAGAGUCUACUUCUCACCUCUUUGCACUUAGCGCGUCACCUGAGAUAGGUUCAGCCCCACUGUUGGGAGCAUCAGUGACAUUGCCCACGACAGUACUGGGCUUGGAAACAUCGCAGGUGAUCUACCCUAAUUUUUUUUUCUACAACUGGGUACAAUAGAAUCAAGUUCCCAGAGAAAUUUGGCAACACGUGUUCAGUAAGGCAAAGUUUCCAAAUAGAAGGUGCCAUGACCUACAAUCAUGGUUUACACAAGAGCCAGACAUAAGAGUCUUCUGAUCAGAAAUGCUUGCAUUGUGCUCUUCUACAGAAGCACGCUAAAGUUCUCUAAUGACCAACCAACAUGCGAAUAGGGUACUGUUGAUCAGUUACAAGAGCCAUCGUGAACUUAACUGGCAAAUGUCUUUAACCAAACAUUAUCCUGAAGAAUCGUAUCAUUAAAAAAAGAAUGGAAUCUAUAGUUGGAAACUGCCAGUAGUCCCUCCACCCUCCAUCACCACUGUCCCAAAAAAUUGAACAGUAAAAAAAAAAAAAAAAAAAAAAGUGAUAAAAUUAUUUAUUUAAGAAAGCAGCUCAUGUACCUCUCUCUAAACAUAAUUUUGUCAAGUCAUGAUGUACAAGAUAUUUUUAUAAUGACUCCUUGGAGUUAUUUUGGAGUCAGGUAUUUCUCAGCUGGUGCAGAAAUGUGAGUGGAGAUUGUGUUGGGGCUCAGCAAAGGAUGCAGUUGAAGAGAGAGAGUCACCACAAAACGUAAUUCUGAGUGUGUUGACUUUCCUCUGAGGAUUGGUACAGGAUUGCAAUGCGAAAUGCCAUUUCCACUCUGACCACCUCCCAGGCACAGGCGGUGAAGUUCUUCCCUCUCAGGUAGUUAUGGAUUCUUUGGAAAUACUUCCGCAGGAGAAUUCCCACCUUGGGACAUGCCUGAUCUUCUCCUUCCCUCUCCUCCAGGUGCUCCAGGCUGUGAUGAAGGCUGGAGAGGAGCUGGGAGAGGAGGGUGUGGUCCCAUGCAGCAAGGCUGCGCUGUGCGCUGAACAGGGUGAACAUCUGCAGGAGCAUCUGAUGGUGCAGACAGAAAGCAAAAUCGAUAGUUGUUUGUGGGCAAAAAUGAAACAGAUAGAAUUCUGCGUGUCAUAGAAGAGAAAGAAGGGAAGUGACUUCUGAUGACAAGAGGACAAAGUGUAAGUUGGCAGAAUUGGCUGCAGCCACACGGGGUUCCUGGUGCUGAGGCAGAUGGAGGAUGGAGCCAGCCCUGAGCUAUACCAACUCAGGAAUGGGCUGACUGCCAGAGGCUCAAAGAACAGGACCUCCUGAGCCAGUGACCAGCCACGUCAUUUAAUGCUCAUGGGAUCAGCUCUGAGGACUGAAGGGAAGACUCACAGCAACCAACUCUCAGAAGACUGGCUACCAUGCCACCCCCUGCUGGAGCAGGACCCUCCCUGCUACCUAGUGGAUAUUAACCUGAUGUACCUGCUCCAUCUGGUUAAUAAAUCCUCUCAGCUGCUGGAAGAUUGCCUUGAGAAUUGUGGAUUUGAAAGAAAUGGAAUUUGAUGAUCCUGCCAGAUUGUGCUCUUAAUCUAAAUAAUAGUUAUAUUGAUAUUUUAUAGUAAAUGAUAAAAUUUUAUUGCAUGAUAACUAUAGUCCCACUACUGUUCUAAGAUCUUUGAAAUGGUGAAUUCAACCUUCCCAGUAAUCCUAUUUGUAUUAAACUGGUUUAUUUAACUAUUAUGCAGUAUAAAUCUGGAGUGAUGAAUUAAUUGGAAGAUACCAAGAAUCCCAAAUCAAACCGUUAAGGAAUUUAAGAUACUGCUGGUUUGGAAGAACCCAUUAAAAGACAAGGAUAGAAUUGGACAUGGGAUUUAUAA